rnacentral:lncRNA from 1 species
CUUCUCUCCUCAGGAAGGAAGCAGUGUGAUAGAGCAGGAACUAUCUGACCCAGGAGUGAAAAGUUCAAGGAGUGGCUCUGAUUCUUUCCUUCUGACCCUGAUCAGAUCACGUAAUUUCUCUGUUUUCUCUCAUCUGUAAAAAUUCAGUACACUGCCAGCACAGAGGGACGUGGAAUCCUCCUCUCAUUUUCCCUCCCCCACCUCCUUUAAAAAAAAAAAAAAGAAACAAAAAACAAUUGAAAUCCUUCUUUGCUUCAAGGACCAGGUUAAGUGUUCGCUCUUCUGUGAAAUCUUUUUAAAUCAUCGUGGCCAGGACAUCUUACUUUUCCAUCAUUUUCUUUGUGCUCCCAUUAUGGCAUGAGUGGCAGUCAACACUGCUGUAGGGCCAUAUGUGUGCAUAUCUUUGCCACUAGAUUGAAAGCCCCUUGGGGACAGAGACCAUGUUGAAUUCACCCUCCACCUCUAGUUCUAAGAAUAAUAUUAUGCUCCAAAGUUUUACAACAAUGUCCUAAUUCAUGAGAUAAAAGUACCUUGUAAAUUGCAGAGGGAGGGUGUGCAAAUUCCGGGGGUUACUAUGGUUGUUGUCAGCUAUUACCAGUGUGGACCAGUUGAUGUCAGUUUUGCCUUAUCAGUCUUAUAUCUUUCCUUUCACUAGCCCUUCACUAUAAAGCAGAGUAUAAAUGGUUGUUGCAUUAUUUUUCUUAAAUAACCAGGUGUAGGGAAAUGUAUAUCUUUUUAUUUAUUAAGCGUGGAAUUAAGCCAACUUAGCGGGAUGUUUUAAAACUUAAAAAUAAUGAAAUUGUUGUAAAGCAGCCAGGAUAAGCAAAUAGUUCAAGAUUCACUGUUAAAAAUAUGAAAGAAUUAAUUACUUAGAAGAGGUAAGCAAUUAGUGCUGAAUGUUAAAAUGCUCUAUUAAGCCUAAUAAAUCAGGAGAUAUGGAAUCCUGUGUCUUAGUGUUAUAAUUGUGAUAUGUAUUUUUAAUCUAUAAAAUAGUAUAGCCAUCUUUUAAGGGUAUAUUUCUAUGUGUUUUAAUAUAAUAUGAUAACAUUGUGCCCAAAUAUGGUUCAUUUUAUGCCAUAUAUCUAUUUAAGUUUACACUUUUGGCUACUGUACUUACUGCUAAGUGGAAAUUAUUUCUUUGCAAACAAUGACAUUCUUGUUACUAUGUUUGCAAGUUGUGUUUAGAUUUUAAAAGUUGUAUUUCAAACUGUUUGCCCAGUACAUAUUAUUAGAAAGGAAUGAAAUAGAAAAUAUAUGCAUCUUUGCUUUUUAUAACUAGGAAAAUGGAAAUUUUAGUACUAGAAAAUCCGCUAGUCUAUAGUCCAUGUUUUGUCAAAGUCUUAGAGAGGGAAAAAUAUCUUACCCAAGAGUAUGCUCUAUCUAUUUCCUGAGACAGCUAAAUUCAGAAAGACUGGUUCAAUAUGCUUUCCAUUCCAUCAAAUAAUCUGUGAUUUUAAAACCAAUCAGAUAGGAUUAUACAAUUUACAGCCCUAACAUAAAUUAUAUUCACUUACGUGAUCCAAUACUGUGUACAUAGAAUUCCUAUUUUAUGGUCAAAAACAAGAGACUGAACUUACUGAGGUGUAUUUUUUUCCACUACCCUAUAAGGAUAUAAUCAACUACUGAUAAAUCAUCAUGUAUAUUAGUAUUCUUUAAAACAAUUUUAGUUUUGAUGAAGAAAAACUAGAAACCCGAUAUCUGAGUUCACAUUGCAGUGGCUUUGAAUGCAAUUAACACAAAUACUGUAUCUUAAAUUACAGGAUUGGUUACAUUGAUUUGGGUGGGGCCAGUUUGAAAUUUUUUUUUUUUAACCAAUGAAUUGUGCUGUUAUAACUGACCUUUUUCUUUUUUUGAUGAAGUCUCCAGUUAUUUCAAUGAUAGCAUUUUCUUCUAACCCAAUAUUUAAAAACAGAUUUCUGAAUCUUAUAAACACUGAGAGAUCAAUUAUACCCACUUAGGGAACAAAUGUUUCUCAAAUACAAUAAAAAUAUUAGGGUUCUGUCCAGCUGCUUCUGUUCAUAAAACAAUGUUUAAGAGCUCGGAGAAGGAUUGGGUAAAUGUGGAGCAUCUUAAUUAAAGAAAAUAUAUUACUUUGCAUCAUGGUUUGAGACAUAGUAACCUAGACAUAGUAACUGAAAGCCAUUUACAUCUGAAUGAUAUUGCUGUCAUUUCUAAACUUACUAAAAUAGCGGUCAAUUAGAUAAAAGCAAUGAAGCCUUCCCCUUCAUGUUGAUGAUUUUUAAUAUCAUAAUCGUAUCAUUCUUGUUUCACAAUUAACUCUUUGCAAAGUGGGGCUAAAUAUUGAGACAUGCUUAUGUAAUAAAGCUAUGAGGUUUUGAUUGAGAAUCACUUAUUUGUAAAUGGCAAAGGAAUAGAUGAAUCUGACAUAAAAUGUUUGCAUAUUUAGCGUUUUUUUUUUUUUUACUUAACCCUUAAAACAUGCUCAAUAUCAAGAGCUAUAUCAAGUACAUUUAGGAACCUAAUGAAUAUUUUCAUAACAUUGAUGAUAGCAUGUCUUACUGUUAAUGAGCAAUGACAUGGCCUAUAACUGGUUACCGAUACAAGAGGAGAAACAAAAUGAUGUGGAUUAAUGGCUAACACUUACUGGGGAUGAUAUAUGCCAUGUGCUAUGCUAUGUACUAUGCAGGCUUUAUUUCAUUUGAUCCUCAGAUCAAUCCUGUGGUAUUAUUAUCUUCAUUUUAUCUAAGUCACAUGACUAAGAAGCAGGAAAACUGGGAUUCAAUCCAAAGAUUCUGAAUUGAGAGACCAUAUUCUUAUUCACUGUGCCCAAAUUACUGUGGGAUUUUGCUGUUUGGCUGUAGAAAUGGAAUGUUUUUCCAUAUAUUAUGUCCAUAAAUAGUUCAUCUGGUUCCUUUUUUUUUUAGAAAUGCAGAUAUAGUUUUAUCCCAGUAGUUUAUAAAUCAGUUUGAAAACUAUUGACCCAGCUGUAAUAUCUAGAUUGAUAUUUUCCCUAUGUUUUUCUAUUUUUGCAACACUUCAGAUCACUUAAUGUAAUACAUGCAAAACUAAUUUUGAAACAGUAAAGUACUAGAUGAAUGUAAGGUCAUGACAUCAUUAAAAUGCUUUUGUAAGUGUGAAUCACUAAGAAUUAUUAUUGGACUAAUGUUUCUAUUUCCUCUUUCCUCUAGAUAUAUUACUUAUUAAAUAGGUUACCUAUUUUAUGAGAAAAUUAAUGCUUAUUGAUUCGGCAAUUGCAGAAUGUCAUUUAACAGUCUUACUAGAUCCUGACUAUCUAGACACUUAAGACAUUGCAGCUUUCUCAGUCCUGGUUACACAUUUCCUGUUUACAACCCACUGCAAUCCUGGGGAUGCUAGAAGAGAAGAAUCUUGCAGCUAGUAUUUGUUAAUAAAUCCUGUACCUCAUGCUAGAUGUUCUAGCUUUUCCUUAGUGGUCAGGACUAAGGGACAUAGCCAACAAGUUGUUGAAUUUACAGAACCAAUUUAAUUUGGGGAAGGCAAAGGAGAAAACAGAAGUACAGUUAGUCUCUUCCCUUUCAGGAUAAAUCAUUGUCUGGUUUCUUCCUCAAUCUUCUUACUGUUUCUUUCUCAAACAUGUUGUGCAUUUACCAUCUGCUAGAACUUGUGCAGACAAUAACCCUAGUCUCUUGAACUCUAGUGCAAUGUUUUUAUUGAUGUUCAUGGUGGAAAUACUGCAUAUCAAUAUAUAUUAGUAUACAAUAAUAGUUUAAGUGUUCAGUCUUAUUGCAUAAAAUAUGGUCCCAUCUCCUCAAAAACUCUACAAAAGUGGAGUUCCCACUGUAACUCAGCAGUUACAAACUGGAAUAACAUCCACGAGGAUGCAGGUUCGAUCCCUGGCCUUGUUCAGUGGAUUAACUGAACAUUGCCCCUAGCCUGGGAACUUGUAUAUGCCGCAGGUGUGGCCCUAAAAAGACAAAAAACAAAAACAAAAACAAAAACCCAAAAACAAAAAAACAAAACAAGACAAAAAACCCACCCUAGAAAAGCAAAAAAUUUUAGCCCUGUGAUUCUCAUUUGAGUUUAUUCACUUCAUCUGUAGUUCUAUAAUCCUGACACCCAAAACUCAAGAGAAUGCUCCUUGCACGGUCUAAUGAAUGCAGGCAGAAGCAGGACUAAUUCUGUGCUCUGAAGACACUAGGCUCCCUGAUGUGGUCUAAAGGCUCAUUAGCAGUUUUCAGGGUCACAUUGUGAUUCCCUAUGCCCUGCAUUACCUCCCCUACAGUUAGAGUUUGAUAAUUAUUUUUUCCUCCCAAGGUUUCUUUACUUUCAUGGUACUAGCAAUUUUCAAUUUGUAGGCAAGAAUGAAGGUCAAUGUAGCAUUUUCUCUCAUUGCUUUCUGAACCUGCCCAGAAAGUACAUCACUAGAAAAGUAUCUAAGGUGUUUCUUUUCAGAAUGUUUAUUUUUACACAAUGAAAAGUAGAGCUCAUAAUAAGGAAAACUAUGCCAAUUAGUACUGCAUGAUCACUUAACUCUGUGGGGCAGUUUAGAAGUGGUUAGGAGCACAGGAAUCUCUGGUCAAAUGCCUGGGUCUGAAUCUAGACUUCAGUAGUUACUAGAUCCAUAACCUUGGGCAUGUUAUGUAACUUCUCUGUGCCUACAUUUUCUCAUUUAUAUAAUAAUAUCUACCUUAUAAGAUUGAAGAUCCUUUGGGAAAUGUGAGUAAGUGUAUGUGUGUGUGUGUGUGUGUGUGUAUUUAAAUAAAUAGUAACACAGUAUAUGUAGUUCCCGUUGUGGCAGAAAUGAAUCCUACUUGUAUCCAUGAGGAUGCGGGUUCGAUUCCUGGACUUUCUCAGAGUUGGGGAUCUGGUGUUGCCGUGAUCUGUGGUGUAGGUCACAGACCCAGCUUGGAUCUGGCAUUGCUGCGGCUGUGGCAUAGGCCACAGCUGUAACUCCAAUUCAACCCCUAGCCUGGGAACUUCCAUAUGCCGCAGGUGUGGCCCU